UGCGAGCGUUACUCGGAAUUACUGGGCGUAAAGCGCGCGUAGGCGGCUUUGCAAGUCGGGUGUGAAAUCCCCAGGCUUAACCUGGGAACUGCAUUCGAGACUGCAUUGCUAGAGUAUGGGAGAGGGAAGUGGAAUUUCCGGUGUAGCGGUGAAAUGCGUAGAUAUCGGAAGGAACAUCAGUGGCGAAAGCGACUUCCUGGACCAAUACUGACGCUCAUGUGCGAAAGCGUGGGGAGCAAACAGG
rnacentral:rRNA from 1 species